rnacentral:rRNA from 1 species
ACUUCGCGGAAUGUUUCACAUGCAGUCGAGCGGUAGCCCUUUCGGGGGUUGAGAGCGGCGAACGGGUGAGUAAUGCAUCGGAACGUACCUAGUCGUGGGGGAUAACGUAGCGAAAGUUACGCUAAUACCGCAUACGUCCUACGGGAGAAAGCAGGGGAUCGCAAGACCUUGCGCGAUUGGAGCGGCCGAUGUCUGAUUAGCUAGUUGGUAGGGUAAAGGCCUACCAAGGCUUCGAUCAGUAGCGGGUCUGAGAGGAUGAUCCGCCACACUGGGACUGAGACACGGCCCAGACUCCUACGGGAGGCAGCAGUGGGGAAUUUUGGACAAUGGGGGCAACCCUGAUCCAGCCAUUCCGCGUGAGUGAAGAAGGCCUUCGGGUUGUAAAGCUCUUUCGGCAGGAACGAAACGGUCCGCUCUAACAUAGCGGACUACUGACGGUACCUGAAGAAGAAGCACCGGCUAACUACGUGCCAGCAGCUGCGGUAAUACGUAGGGUGCGAGCGUUAAUCGGAAUUACUGGGCGUAAAGCGUGCGCAGGCGGCUUUUUAAGCCAGAUGUGAAAUCCCCGGGCUUAACCUGGGAACUGCAUUUGGAACUGGAAGGCUAGAGUGCGGCAGAGGGGGGUAGAAUUCCACGUGUAGCAGUGAAAUGCGUAGAGAUGUGGAGGAAUACCGAUGGCGAAGGCAGCCCCCUGGGUCGACACUGACGCUCAUGCACGAAAGCGUGGGGAGCAAACAGGAUUAGAUACCCUGAUAGUCCACGCCCUAAACGAUGUCAACUAGUUGUUGGAGGAGUGAAAUCCUUUAGUAACGAAGCUAACGCGUGAAGUUGACCGCCUGGGAGUACGGUCGCAAGAUU